rnacentral:rRNA from 1 species
GAGGGUUUGAUCCUGGCUCAGGAUGAACGCUAGCUACAGGCUUAACACAUGCAAGUCGAGGGGCAGCAUGUUGGUUGCUUGCAACCAAUGAUGGCGACCGGCGCACGGGUGAGUAACGCGUAUCCAACCUACCCAAUACUCAGGCAUAACCCGUUGAAAGACGGACUAAUUCCUGAUGGUAUGUAUUUUUCUCAUGAAUUAUACAUUAAAGAAUUUCGGUAUUGGAUGGGGAUGCGUCUGAUUAGUUUGUUGGUGAGGUAACGGCUCACCAAGACUUCGAUCAGUAGGGGUUCUGAGAGGAAGGUCCCCCACAUUGGAACUGAGACACGGUCCAAACUCCUACGGGAGGCAGCAGUGAGGAAUAUUGGUCAAUGGAUGCAAAUCUGAACCA